ACCUUCUAGUUCGGUGAGGGAGCGUGCACAGGUGCUGCAUGGCUGUCGUCAGCCUUCGGUGUCGUGAGAGUGGUUUAGGGUUAACGUCCCGCAACGAGCACCAACCUUGUCCUUAGUUACCAGCACGUUAUGGUGGGCACUCUAAGGAGACUGCCGGUGACAAACCGGAGGAAGGUGGGGAUGACGUCAAGUCAUCAUGGCCCUUACGGCCUGGGCUACACACGUGCUACAAUGGUCGGUACAAAGGGUUGCCAAGCCGCGAGGUGGAGCUAAUCCCAUAAAACCGAUCGUAGUCCGGAUCGCAGUCUGCAACUCGACUGCGUGAAGUCGGAAUCGCUAGUAAUCGUGAAUCAGAAUGUCACGGUGAAUACGUUCCCGGGCCUU
rnacentral:rRNA from 1 species